UACGUAGGGUCCGAGCGUUGUCCGGAUUUAUUGGGCGUAAAGAGCUCGUAGGCGGUUCCGUAAGUCAGAUGUGAAAACUCAGGGCUCAACCCGGACGACGCCCAUCUGAUACUGCGGUGACUGGAGUCUGGUAGGGGAACACGGAAUUCCCUGGGUGUAGCGGUGAAAUGCGCCAGAUAUCAGGAGGAACACCGAUGGCGAAGGCAG
rnacentral:rRNA from 1 species